GGUUGUGUAGUGUAGCGGUUAUCACUCCAGAUUCUGAUGAUGUGUCGCUUCGGGUCGUCCCCGGAAUCGAACUAGGAAAAUUCUGGCGACCCCGGUCCGAUUCCGGGCACGACCU